rnacentral:rRNA from 1 species
GCUUGUCUCAAAGAUUAAGCCAUGCAUGUCUAAGUAUAAACAAAUCUAUACUGUGAAACUGCGAAUGGCUCAUUAUAUCAGUUAUAGUUUAUUUGAUGGUUCUUGCUACUUGGAUAACCGUAGUAAUUCUAGAGCUAAUACAUGCAUCAAACCCCGACUUCUGGAAGGGGUGUAUUUAUUAGAUUAAAGACCAAUGCGGGCUUGCCCGGUAUUGUGGUGAAUCAUAAUAACUCCUCGAAUCGCAUGGCCUUGCGCCGGCGAUGUUUCAUUCAAAUUUCUGCCCUAUCAACUGUCGACUGUGAUAUAGACGCUCACAGUGGUUUUGACGGGUAACGGGGAAUCAGGGUUCGAUUCCGGAGAGGGAGCCUUAAAAACGGCUACCACAUCCAAGGAAGGCAGCAGG